GACGAACGCUGGCGGCGCGCCUAACACAUGCAAGUCGAACGAGAGAUGAGGAGCUUGCUCUUCAAAUCGAGUGGCGAACGGGUGAGUAACGCGUGAGGAACCUGCCUCAAAGAGGGGGACAACAGUUGGAAACGACUGCUAAUACCGCAUAAGCCCACGGCUCGGCAUCGAGCAGGGGGAAAAGGAGCAAUCCGCUUUGAGAUGGCCUCGCGUCCGAUUAGCUAGUUGGUGAGGUAAUGGCCCACCAAGGCGACGAUCGGUAGCCGGACUGAGAGGUUGAACGGCCACAUUGGGACUGAGACACGGCCCAGACUCCUACGGGAGGCAGCAGUGGGGAAUAUUGCACAAUGGGGGAAACCCUGAUGCAGCGACGCCGCGUGGAGGAAGAAGGUCUUCGGAUUGUAAACUCCUGUUGUUGAGGAAGAUAAUGACGGUACUCA
rnacentral:rRNA from 1 species